rnacentral:lncRNA from 1 species
GCCAUCUGCAGAUCCUCUUCUCUCGCUCCUCCUCUCACGCCAUCCUGCCAUCCGCUCCCUCUAUAAACUACGGCGCCACUUUACACAUGCACAUCACGUCGGCAAACAGUGUUAUCGUAAAUUCUAAUCGAUCAAUGGCUCGACCGCUCACCAUCUUCUUCUUCCUGCUCGUCGCCCCCGUCGUUUCCGUGCGGGGAGCUGGCGCUGGUGUCGGUCUCGUUCCGCCGGUGCCGAUUGGCAGGAGGUACAUCGUCGGCGGCGCGGACGGGUGGCGUGUGCCGCCGCAGGAGAACAAGGACAUGUAUGUGAAGUGGGCCUCCACCAUCCAGUUUUUCAUCGAAGACUCCGUUG